rnacentral:misc_RNA from 1 species
ACUCUGGCUUUCGCGCUGGCUAGGUAAAAGCCAGAUCGUGCGACUCGAGUCUGUCAUCAUAUUGUACAUAGCACGUUAAACGUGAAAUUGCCAGCGAGUUAUUUUAAUAAAAUGGAUGUGAAUUAGUGUCGAGUCCGGUCUGGAAACUAAGAAAAUGUGCUCAGUCAGUCGACCAAGAAUGAAGUCACUGAGAAUGGUGUAGCUUGAUAUUUUUGUGAUUGUCUUAUUGUUAUUUGUGUACCUGUGUAUCGUCUGACUACCUGUCUCUUUUCAAUUAUGGGGACCCAUUGGCUAUUCUGUGUCUUGUUUAUUGCUUUCAUUAAGUUUUCUUUCGGCGCCGAGCUGGUCAUCCACAUUCCAGGCAACUUAGGGCAAGAUGGCGUGGUUUAUAGGUUAGAUUACUUUCCACCAUUAGGAUAUCCAGCUCCAAACACGACUAUAGCUUCCAAGGACAUCAAAGAUGUGAUAAAAUUUUCUCAAGCCUUACCCGGGACCAAGUAUGACUUUUGGCUGUACUAUUCGAAUGCUACUCAUAACACGCUUACUUGGACUGCUAACUUCACCACAGUUCCGGACCCACCUUCUGGUCUGUCAGUCAACGUCCGUAGCGGCAAAACUGCUAUAAUCACUUGGGACCCUCCUUCUCAAGGCAGCUUCACCAGUUUCAAGCUCAAAAUCAACCCGCUCGUUCACAUCCCCGAUCAGAAACCGCAAACCGUCAUCAUUGAUAACUUCGAUAAGCCCAUGUAUGUCCUGAAGGAUCUUGUACCAGGAGCCACAUAUCAAGUACAAGCGUUCACCGUUUUUGAAAAUAAGGAGAGUGCUGCUUAUACCUCGAGAAAUUUUACUACAAAACCUAACACCCCUGGCAAAUUCAUUGUUUGGUUUCGAAACGAAACAACACUUCUAGUCCUGUGGCAGCCUCCCUACCCUGCAGCCAUCUAUACCCACUACAAGGUAUCUAUAGAUCCUCCAGAUGCUAACGACAGCAUACUUUAUGUUGAGAAGGAGGGUGAGCCACCAGGUCCGGCUCAGGCAGCUUUCAAAGGUCUAGUACCCGGCAGAGCUUACAAUAUUUCCGUACAGACGAUGUCAGAGGAUGAGAUUUCGACACCUACUACUGCCCAAUAUCGAACUGUUCCAUUGAAGCCACAAAAAAUUUCAUUCGAUAGGGAUAAGAUUACGACACAUUCAUUUGUUGUGCAUUGGGAAGCUCCCAGUGGAAAGAGCGAAUUUGAUAAAUAUCAAAUAUCUUUGGGUACUGUUAGAAAACCACCUCCAGUACCAAGAUCAAGAGAAGACCCGACAUUCUGGGAGUUCAAAGACAACCUGGAACCCGGAAAAACUUAUUCAGUUGUUAUUAAAACAGUUUCUGGGAAAGUUACCUCAUGGCCUGUCACCAGUGAUGUUACUCUAAAACCUCUACCUGUAAAACACCUUAGAUCGAAAUCUGACGACAAAACUGGUGUGGCUACUAUCUUCUGGGAUCCAGAUAAAAAUAGCACACAAGAAGGAUAUCUUGUGUCAUACCACGAAGUGGAGAGUACGACAGGCGAUAGCAACAUGGUUACCACGAAUAGGACUGAAAUAGAGCUCGAAGCUCUUCUUUCUGGCAGGAACUAUUCUGUCACUGUUCAGUCAGAGUCCAAGGAUCAACAAUCUUCGGAAGAAACUAUUUAUGUAGCCACCAAACCAAGUGCCCCGAUCAUAGAGGACUUACGACCCAUGAUUGAUGGGCUCAACAUCAGCUGGAAAUCUGAUGUCAAUUCCAAGCAAGAUAAGUAUGAAGUACAGUGGAUCAGGAAUGACACCAAUGAGAGGAAUAUCAGGACUACCUUUGAUUCGAAGAUUAUUCUGAGCCAUCUGUAUCCAGGAGCCGGUUAUUUGGUGAAGGUGUUUGCCAUUUCCCAUGGUUUGAGGAGUGAACCUCAUGAAUACUUCCAACCAGUGUUUCCACGCCCCCCUAGGAAUAUGUCCAUUGAAAAAACAACAACAAACUCUGUUAUCGUGCAAUGGUUGGCACCAACAGAUUCUCUUAUUUCGGAAUAUGCAAUUCGUUAUAGAACAGAUUCCGACAACCUGUGGGUGAGAUUACCAGCAGUACCCAACACUGAAGCUGAAGUUACAGAUAUGACGCCAGGUGAACGGUAUACUAUUCAGGUUAAUACUGUUAGUUACGGAUUGGAAAGUAAUGAACCUCAGCAGUUGAAUCUGACAGUCAGACCCAAUCCGGUAUCAAAUAUUGCACCUUUAGUUGAUUCGAACAACGUCACUUUAGAAUGGCCUAGACCAGAAGGUCGAGUUGAAACUUACAUAGUAAAAUGGAGAGAAUCUGCCAUUCCCACCCAGUUCAAUAGGAGAAACGUAACUCAAAGCCAAAAUGGAACUGGACCUGUGAGAUUACUUGUCGGGGAUUUGAUGCCAGGUGUGGAGUACAUUUUUGAAAUCCAAGCUAUUUCUAAUGACCUGGAGAGUGAUGUUACUGUUUUAAAAACACGCACAAUGCCACUUAUUCAAUCAGAAGUAGUUGUGGUCAACAACCAACAGUCGACAGACUCUAUUAGUCUGCGGUACACUCCAACACCGCCAAGUUCGUCGAAAUUCGACAUCUACAGGUUCUCACUUUCCGAGUCCAACAUUCCUGACCAAGAAAAGACUGCUAAUGAUUCCGAUAGAUUGGUUACUUUUACUGGGCUGGUACCAGGAAGGCUCUACAAUAUCACAGUUUGGACCGUAUCUAACAACGUUGCUAGCCAACCUUUGCAGAGACAAGAUAGGUUAUAUCCGGAACCAAUUACCGGUAUUAACUCAACUUAUGUAUCUGACACAGAAAUAACCCUAAGCUGGUCUUUUCCUCGCGGAGAAUAUAAUGCAUUUGAGGUACAGUACCUUACGACUGAGAAUAUCUUUAUCCAAAAUCUGACUCGUCACAACUCCAUCAACAUAAGUGACUUGAAACCUCAUCGAAACUAUACGUUUACGGUUAUUGUGAGAAGCGGUACAGAAUCAAGUAUCCUGAGGAGAUCUUUGCCGGUUUCAGCUAUUUUCACUACCAAAGAAUCUGUACCAGGGAAAGUUGACAAAUUCGAACCAGUCGAUAUUCAGCCUAGUGAUAUUGUUUUCGAGUGGACUCUUCCAACGGCGGAACAAAAUGGAGUUAUAAGGAAGUUUACUGUGACCUAUGGAUUAGAAGGAUCUUCUCAUACUUUAUCUCGGAAUUUCAACCCCACCGAAUUCAGAGGAGUUAUAAGACAGCUGGUUCCUGGAAAGACUUAUGUUUUUAAAAUCCAAGCAGAAACUCGAGUUGGUUUUGGGCCGGAGACAGUUUGGAAACAACGGAUGCCAAUUCUGGCUCCUCCUAAACCCAGUAUGCAAGUUGUACCAACAGAGGUUUGCAAGAGUUCCACUACCAUUCAAAUCAGAUUCAGGAAAAAUUAUUUCAGUGAUAUAAAUGGACCGGUGAAGUUAUAUGCAAUCAUUGUGGCAGAGGACCAUUCGAAAAAUGCCUCUGGUCUGGAAAUGCCAAGUUGGCGGGAUGUUCAAGCAUACUCGGUGUGGCCUCCCUAUCAAGUGAUGGAUCCUUACUACCCAUUCUCGAAUAGUUCCGUUGAAGACUUCACAAUAGGAGGACAGUCUUGUGAUAUAAGGCAUGUUGGGUACUGUAAUGGUCCCUUGAAAUCCGGAUCCACUUAUAGAGUUAAAAUCAGAGCUUUCACUGCUCCAGAUAAAUUCACAGACACCAGUUAUAGUUUCCCAAUUCAAACAGAUCAAGAUAGCACUCCUAUUGUACUUGGCAUAGUCAUCCCACUUGUUCUCAUCGCAGUUCUGUUCAUAAGCAUUAUAAUUAUAAGGAGGAGAAGGUCUGCGGGAAAAAGGAAGGCUACAGAAUCCAGAUCGAAUGACAACAUGUCUCUGCCUGACUCGGUGAUUGAGACUAGUAGACCAGUCAGAAUUGAAAAUUUUGCCAAUCACUACAGAAUCAUGUCUGCUGAUUCUGAUUUCAGGUUUAGUGAAGAAUUUGAGGAACUCAAACAUAUAGGAAGAGACCAACCAUGUACCUUCUCAGAUCUUCCAUGUAAUAGACCCAAAAAUCGGUUUACCAAUAUUUUACCAUAUGAUCAUUCACGGGUCAAACUUCAGCCUGUAGAUGAUGAAGAAGGCUCAGAUUAUAUCAAUGCUAACUACGUACCAGGUUACAAUUCCCCAAGAGAAUUUAUUGUAACUCAAGGUCCCCUACAUUCGACCCGAGAUGAUUUUUGGAGAAUGGUCUGGGAGUCCAAUUCAAGGGCCAUCAUAAUGCUAACGAGGUGUGUAGAAAAGGGCAGAGAAAAGUGUGACCAUUACUGGCCCUACGAUACCAUGCCAGUAUACUAUGGAGAUAUAUCCGUACAAAUACUGAAUGAGUCUCGCUAUCAAGACUGGAAUAUUAGCGAGUUCAUGGUGUGCAGGGGAGACAUUCAAAGGGUCGUUAGGCAUUUCCAUUUCUCUACAUGGCCUGAUUUUGGAGUGCCUAAUCCACCGCAUACCUUAGUGAGGUUUGUUAGGGCAUUCCGAGAAAGGGUGCCACCUGAUCAAAGACCAAUAGUUGUCCAUUGUAGUGCUGGAGUGGGUAGAUCUGGUACAUUCAUAUGUUUGGAUCGCAUCCUUCAGCAAAUCCUAGUGAGUGACUACGUCGACAUUUUUGGAAUAGUUUUUGCAAUGAGGAAAGAAAGAGUGUGGAUGGUUCAGACAGAACAACAGUAUAUCUGCAUACAUCAGUGCCUUUUGGCCGUACUUGAGGGGAAAGAUUUGAGUUCCUCUACAAGGGAGAUCCAUGAUAAUCAAGGAUUUGAAGAAAUGGUAUCUGCGUUUAUAAGACGUUGUAAAAAGCUGCUAUUCUGUGGUUCAGGAAAAGGUGUUGGUGCUACAGUUGACGCCACUUUCUCGCCAGGGGAAAAACUGAGGUAGAUUUGAACACGCUGUUGAUUUGCGCAAAACCUGCACUGCUUUCUCUUUUUUAUAUUGAUGAUGAAGGUAUAGCAGAAUCUGGAAUGUGAAAACCUGAAGAGAGAGCCAGAGACAAACUACUCGGAAUUCCUAUUUUUGCUAAAUUGACGUAACUUGUUAUAUUUAUACAGAACAGAAAACUAAAUAAUCCUCAUAUAUAAUGUAUGCAAGAAUUUUUGUUAUUUGUUUAAUGAAAUAGUUGUCACCGAUUCAAGCAAAGUUCGUGCCAAAAUAUACAGGGUAUCGAUAAAACUUUUAGUUUCUGGGUCAUAUUGUUUAAAUAAUCUAUAGAGAAGUGCCCUGUAACGGGAAUAUGAAUUUUUGAUUAUGAUAAUACUCAUUAUGAAGUUGUAAUUAAACAAAUUGUUUUCUCACUGUAUAGGUGAAUUUUAGGAUGGUAUUUUUUGACAUAAAUGAUUCUGUGAUAAUUUGAACUUUGUAUCUAUACAUAAUUAUUAUAUUUUUUAAUAUAAGAUUUUUGACUAACCCUUUUGUUAUUUUGCUGUGUACUUAAUUUUACUCAGAAAUUAAAAAUAUUUUAUCUAUUUUAA